rnacentral:rRNA from 1 species
AUGAACGCUAGCGGCAGGCCUAACACAUGCAAGUCGAGGGGUAGAAGGAGCUUGCUCCUUUGAGACCGGCGCACGGGUGCGUAACGCGUAUGCAAUCUACCUUGUACAGGGGAAUAGCCCAGAGAAAUUUGGAUUAAUGCCCCAUAGUAUAUAACCUUCGCAUGUUGGUUAUAUUAAAGUUCCAACGGUACAAGAUGAGCAUGCGUCCCAUUAGUUAGUUGGUAAGGUAACGGCUUACCAAGACGAUGAUGGGUAGGGGUCCUGAGAGGGAGAUCCCCCACACUGGUACUGAGACACGGACCAGACUCCUACGGGAGGCAGCAGUGAGGAAUAUUGGUCAAUGGUCGCAAGACUGAACCAGCCAUGCCGCGUGCAGGAAGACGGUCCUAUGGAUUGUAAACUGCUUUUAUACAGGAAGAAACCCUCCCACGUGUGGGAGCUUGACGGUACUGUAGGAAUAAGGAUCGGCUAACUCCGUG